AGAGUUUGAUCCUGGCUCAGAACGAACGCUGGCGGCAGGCUUAACACAUGCAAGUCGAGCGCCCCGCAAGGGGAGCGGCAGACGGGUGAGUAACGCGUGGGAAUCUACCCAUCUCUACGGAAUAACGCAUGGAAACGUGUGCUAAUACCGUAUACGUCCUUCGGGAGAAAGAUUUAUCGGAGAUGGAUGAGCCCGCGUUGGAUUAGCUAGUUGGUGGGGURAAGGCCUACCAAGGCGACGAUCCAUAGCURGUCUGAGAGGAUGAUCAGCCACACUGGGACUGAGACACGGCCCAGACUCCUACGGGAGGCAGCAGUGGGGAAUAUUGGACAAUGGGCGCAAGCCUGAUCCAGCCAUGCCGCGUGAGUGAUGAAGGCCCUAGGGUUGUAAAGCUCUUUCACCGGUGAAGAUAAUGACGGUAACCGGAGAAGAAGCCCCGGCYAACUUCGUGCCAGCAGCCGCGGUAAU
rnacentral:rRNA from 1 species